GCUGGGCAUGGUGGUGCAUGCCUAUAGUCCCAGCUACUCCAGAGGCUGAGGCGGGAGGAUCGCUUGAGCCCAGGAGUUCAAGGCUGCAGUGAGCUAUGAUUGUGCCACUGUGCUCUAGCCUGGGUGACAGAGUGAGACCCUAUCUCUA
ensembl:misc_RNA Metazoa_SRP Metazoan signal recognition particle RNA